GACAGUGACUCAGUCAUUACCCAGGAAC
rnacentral:piRNA from 1 species